UACGGAGGGAGCUAGCGUUGUUCGGAAUUACUGGGCGUAAAGCGCACGUAGGCGGCUUUGUAAGUUAGAGGUGAAAGCCCGGGGCUCAACUCCGGAACUGCCUUUAAGACUGCAUCGCUUGAAUCCAGGAGAGGUGAGUGGAAUUCCGAGUGUAGAGGUGAAAUUCGUAGAUAUUCGGAAGAACACCAGUGGCGAAGGCGGCUCACUGGUCCGGUACUGACGCUGAGGUGCGAAAGCGUGGGGAGCAAACAGG
rnacentral:rRNA from 1 species